GAUGGGGUUCCCGGUGUAGCAAGAAGAAGAUUCGUCUUUCUCUAAGCUUUGGAGCAAUUGCCUUCUCGUUACGGAAGCAUUCACUUUCCUGCAACAGUUCAGGGCUCGGAUGCUGGCCGGGGAGAGUGAGGUUGAGAGCGGCAGCGGCGGCACUGGCACCUAGCGGCGAGCAGGAGGGUAGCAGCAAAGCUAGCAGCACAAUGCAGGUUGUGGUCAACAUUUUGGAGCAAAAAUGACCGUUUUUGUUUCAAAACAGAGUAGUAGCUAGUAAUCCGGGGGGAGUGGUGGUGAGGUGGCAGAAGAUGAUUGGGCCGUAUAAAUAAUUGUAAGUAUAUGGGUUUGGAACUGGAUAAUGCUGCAACGUAAAGAAGUUAAUGUGGAGAGAAAAGUGGUUCCUUUUUGACUAUGGGACUGACUCUUUGAAGAUUCCCCUCCUUCCUCUUCUCUCCUCUCCUCUGUUUCUUUUUCCCUUUCUUUCUCUUUUUUGUUUUUCUUUUUAAUCUCAAUUUCUGAGGUGGUAAAAGGAUAUUCUCCACUCUUUACUUUAAUAUUUACUCAUGUUUUCUCCUUUUGUGUAUAUA